UACGUAGGGUGCAAGCGUUGUCCGGAAUUAUUGGGCGUAAAGAGCUCGUAGGCGGUUUGUUGCGUCGGCUGUGAAAUCCCGAGGCUCAACCUCGGGUCUGCAGUCGAUACGAGCAAACUAGAGUGUUGCAGGGGAGACUGGAAUUCCUGGUGUAGCGGUGAAAUGCGCAGAUAUCAGGAGGAACACCAAUGGCGAAGGCAGCUCGCUGGAACGGUACUGACGCUGAGGCGCGAAAGCGUGGGGAGCGAACAGG
rnacentral:rRNA from 1 species